rnacentral:rRNA from 1 species
GCUAUACAUGCAGUCGAGCGGACGAUUCAAAGCUUGCUUUUGAAUCGUUAGCGGCGGACGGGUGAGUAACACGUGGGCAACCUGCCCUGUAGACGGGGAUAACACCGAGAAAUCGGUGCUAAUACCGGAUAACACGAAAUGUCGCAUGACGUUUCGUUGAAAGACGGCGCAAGCUGUCGCUACAGGAUGGGCCCGCGGCGCAUUAGCUAGUUGGUGAGGUAACGGCUCACCAAGGCGACGAUGCGUAGCCGACCUGAGAGGGUGAUCGGCCACACUGGGACUGAGACACGGCCCAGACUCCUACGGGAGGCAGCAGUAGGGAAUCUUCCGCAAUGGACGAAAGUCUGACGGAGCAACGCCGCGUGAGCGAAGAAGGCCUUCGGGUCGUAAAGCUCUGUUGUUAGGGAAGAACAAGUAACGUAUUAACUGGCGUUACUGUGACGGUACCUAACGAGAAAGUCACGGCUAACUACGUGCCAGUAUCCCCGGUAAUACUUAUGUGGCA